rnacentral:rRNA from 1 species
UACGGAGGGUGCAAGCGUUAAUCGGAAUUACUGGGCGUAAAGCGCACGCAGGCGGUCUGUCAAGUCGGAUGUGAAAUUCCCGGGCUCAACCUGGGAACUGCAUCCGAAACUGGCAGGCUAGAGUCUUGUAGAUGGGGGUAGAAUUCCAGGUGUAGCGGUGAAAUGCGUAGAGAUCUGGAGGAAUACCGGUGGCGAAGGCGGCCCCCUGGACACAGACUGACGCUCAGGUGCGAAAGCGUGGGGAGCAAACAGG